GUGCUCACUUCGGCAGCACAUAUACUAAAAUUAGAAUGAUACAGAGAAGAUUAGCAUGGCCCCUGCACAAGGAUGACAUGCAAAUUCGUGAAGUGUUCCAUAGUUUU
rnacentral:snRNA from 1 species